CACCCCAUCCUCUGCAGAACCUGUGCUACCUGGGCCUCCCAUAGCACCCUAUUCCUUACCCAAAGAAGACACCAAGUGGCCACCUGCUCUCCAGCCACCUGUAGGGCUGGGUCCCCCUCCCCCAGACCCAAAUCUCCUGGCCCCUCCCUCUGGAGAUUCUGCUGGCUUUAGGCAGCUUCUCCCUGAGGUCCUGGAGCCUGGACCCCUGGCUUCCAACCAGCCCCCUACAGAACAACUCUUGCCUGACCUGCUCAUCAGCCCCCACAUGCUGCCUUUGACUGACCUAGAGAUCAAGUUCCAGUACCGGGGACGUCCACCGCGGGCCCUCACCAUCAGCAACCCACAAGGCUGCAGGCUCUUCUAUAGCCAGCUAGAGGCUACCCAGGAGCAAGUGGAACUCUUUGGCCCUGUGACCC
rnacentral:lncRNA from 1 species